AGUGGCGGACGGGUGAGUAACGCGUGAGAAUCUGCCUUGGGGUCGGGGACAACCACUGGAAACGGUGGCUAAUACCGGAUAAGCCGAUUGGUGAAAGAUUUAUUGCCCGAAGAGGAGCUCGCGUCUGAUUAGCUAGUUGGUGAGGUAAGAGCUCACCAAGGCAGCGAUCAGUAGCUGGUCUGAGAGGACGAUCAGCCACACUGGGACUGAGACACGGCCCAGACUCCUACGGGAGGCAGCAGUGGGGAAUUUUCCGCAAUGGGCGAAAGCCUGACGGAGCAAGACCGCGUGAGGGAGGAAGGCUCUUGGGUUGUAAACCUCUUUUCUCAGGGAAGAAGCUCUGACGGUACCUGAGGAAUCAGCCUCGGCUAACUCCGUGCCAGCAGCCGCGGUAAUACGGAGGAGGCAAGCGUUAUCCGGAAUUAUUGGGCGUAAAGCGUCCGCAGGUGGCGAUUCAAGUCUGCUGUCAAAGCACGGGGCUUAACUCCGUAAAGGCAGUGGAAACUGAAUAGCUAGAGUGCCGUAGGGGUAGAGGGAAUUCCCGGUGUAGCGGUGAAAUGCGUAGAGAUCGGGAAGAACAUCGGUGGCGAAAGCGCUCUACUGGACGGCAAACUGACACUCAGGGACGAAAGCUAGGGGAGCGAAUGGGAUUAGAUACCCC
rnacentral:rRNA from 1 species